CGGGAAAAGAAUUGGCUCUGAAGGAUGGGUAUAUGGGGAAUGUUUUAGCCUUGUUGAUUUUUUAUUGGAAAUGGGGUCGCAAGAUUUCGUUUCUUCUUUUUAAUUUACAAUAACAAUUCAUUCUAAUCAACUAUAUACAACAAACAUCUAAUUCAGAACUGGUACGAACAAGGAGAAUCCGACUGUUUAAUUAAAACUAAGCAUUGUGACGGUUCGUAAGAAUGUAGACACAAUGUGAUUUCUGCCCAGUGCUCUGAAUGUUAACGUGAAGGAAUUCAAACAAGCGCGGGUAAACGGCGGGAGUAACUAUGACUCUCUUAAGGUAGCCAAAUGCCUCGUCAUCUAAUUGUGACGCGCACGAAUGGAUUAAUGAGAUUCUCACUGUCUCUACCCACCAUCUAGCGAAACCACAGCCAAGGGAACGGGCUUGGAAAAGAAAGCGGGGAAAGAAGACCCUGUUGAGCUUGACUCUAGUCUGCUUCUGUGAAAAGACUUUGGAGGUGUAGCGUAAGGAGGAGCUUUACGGCGAACUUGAAACACUCCUACUUCGAACGUCUUUUUACUUCGGGUGUAAAAUGAUAUUGAAAGGAUGAAAGUUCUUUUAUUAUUUGAAUUCAUUGUAUACUAUAUACAACAAUCAAUCACCCAACAAAAGCAGGUGGGGAGUUUGACUGGGGCGGUACAUCUGCGAAAAAAUAGCGCAGGUGAACCAAGGCGGGCUCAGUGAGAAGAGAAAUCUCACGUAGAGCUAAAGGGCAAAAGCCCGCUUGAUUUAGUCUUUCAGUGUGAGAACAAACGAGGAAACUGUGUCCUAUCGAUCCUUUAUGUUUUGCGGAGAACCUCCGCCUAGAGGUGCCAGAAAAGUUACCACAGGGAUAACUGGCUUGUGGCUGCCAAGCGUCCAAAGCGACGUAGCUUUUUGAUCCUUCGAUGUCGGCUCUUCUCAUCAUUCCGUUGCAGAAGGCGGAAAGUGUCAGAUUGUUCACCUGUAAAAGAGGAACGUGAGCUGGGUUUAGACCGUCGUGAGACAGGUUAGUUUUACCCUACUUUCAGAUUGAUUUCUUGACUCGACACGGAGGUAGUACGAGAGGAACUGUCCGUGGGCGCAUUUGGUUCGUGCUUUCGUUGAACAACGAGUGAGCAGAUGCUACGCGCUCUUUUGAUAAAAACUGAAGGCCUCUAAAGUUUGAAUCAGACGAGAACAUGGAAGUCUAUAUUGCUUUUGAUUUUAUCCAGAUGCAUGAAUAUUUUUCAGAAAUGCUGUGUGGAGUUAUUGU
rnacentral:rRNA from 1 species